UACGGGGGGGGCAAGCGUUGUUCGGAAUUACUGGGCGUAAAGGGCUCGUAGGCGGCCAACUAAGUCAGACGUGAAAUCCCUCGGCUUAACCGGGGAACUGCGUCUGAUACUGGAUGGCUCGAGUGUGGGAGAGGGAUGCGGAAUUCCAGGUGUAGCGGUGAAAUGCGUAGAUAUCUGGAGGAACACCGGUGGCGAAGGCGGCCUCCUGGACCAACACUGACGCUGAGGCGCGAAAGCCAGGGGAGCAAACGGG
rnacentral:rRNA from 1 species